GUUUGAUCAUGGCUCAGAUUGAACGCUGGCGGCAUGCCUUACACAUGCAAGUCGAACGGCAGCACGGAGCUUGCUCUGGUGGCGAGUGGCGAACGGGUGAGUAAUAUAUCGGAACGUACCCUGGAGUGGGGGAUAACGUAGCGAAAGUUACGCUAAUACCGCAUACGAUCUAAGGAUGAAAGUGGGGGAUUCGCAAGAACCUCAUGCUCCUGGAGCGGCCGAUAUCUGAUUAGCUAGUUGGUAGGGUAAAAGCCUACCAAGGCAUCGAUCAGUAGCUGGUCUGAGAGGACGACCAGCCACACUGGAACUGAGACACGGUCCAGACUCCUACGGGAGGCAGCAGUGGGGAAUUUUGGACAAUGGGGGCAACCCUGAUCCAGCAAUGCCGCGUGAGUGAAGAAGGCCUUCGGGUUGUAAAGCUCUUUUGUCAGGGAAGAAACGGUGUGAGCUAAUAUCUCAUGCUAAUGACGGUACCUGAAGAAUAAGCACCGGCUAACUACGUGCCAGCAGCCGCGGUAAUACGUAGGGUGCAAGCGUUAAUCGGAAUUACUGGGCGUAAAGCGCGCGCAGGCGGUUUUGUAAGACUGUCGUGAAAUCCCCGGGCUCAACCUGGGAAUGGCGAUGGUGACUGCAAGGCUAGAGUUUGGCAGAGGGGGGUAGAAUUCCACGUGUAGCAGUGAAAUGCGUAGAUAUGUGGAGGAACACCGAUGGCGAAGGCAGCCCCCUGGGUCAAAACUGACGCUCAUGCACGAAAGCGUGGGGAGCAAACAGGAUUAGAUACCCUGGUAGUCCACGCCCUAAACGAUGUCUACUAGUUGUCGGGUUUUAAUUAACUUGGUAACGCAGCUAACGCGUGAAGUAGACCGCCUGGGGAGUACGGUCCNCAAGAUUAAAACUCCAAAGGAAUUGANGGG
rnacentral:rRNA from 1 species